CAGGGUUUCUUGUUUAGCCCUGGCUGUUCUAGAAUUCACUCUGAAAACCAGGAUGGCCUCAGACUCACAGAGAUCUGCGUACCCCUGACUCCUGAGUGCUGGGAUUAAAGUGUCCAUAGAGACCAGAAGAGGAUGUCAGAUCCCUGCCGCAUGGGCUGCUGGGCAUCCAAACGAGGUCCUCUGGAAGAACAGCCAGCGUUCUUAACUGCUGAGCCAUCUCUGAGCCCUAAUUAUCUUUUAAUAAAUCUCGAAUCUAA